rnacentral:lncRNA from 1 species
AUGCCCAGAACUUCUGAAAUCGUGGAAAAACCCCAUGUCUGCGUCUGCACCAUCACUUCAAAUGAUCUAAAGCCCAAACACCACGUCCGAUUCAAACCAGCAUCUCUUCUCCCAUGGGGCUGUCCUGUCAGUCAUCCGGGUCCGGGAGAAGAAGCCGAUGCUUUGAACAGACCUCCUCCAACCCGGCCUCUCUGCCGGUCACUCCCUUCUCGGCUCCCUUCUCUGGUCCCCUGCCGGCUCCCUCUCAGGUCUCUGGGCCCGCCGGCCUCUCGGCAGGCUGGGCACAUGGGUGGAGGGCAGGAAGCUGGGGAGACGCCUGGCCAGGGCCUGCGGGAAGGGCCAAGCCCCACUAGGGGCCAAGGGGCUCAGGGAAUCCGAGCAGAAAGCUCACUCAAAACGCCUGAACCCCCAGCCCUGUCCGGCUCCUUCCUGCCUGUACCCAGCCUCAAGUCUGUGCAGUAUCAGGAAGCCCCUGGCACUCCCGGCCGUCAGCCCAGCCCUGUCUGCCUCCUAUCCCUCACCCUUCCCUACUGCCUGCCCCUCACCUCCAUUGGAGGUCUCUCCCCAGCAUCAGGGUCUGGAAGUUUCCCUCCCAUGUUCAUCUUCCCAGCCAUCAAAGCACAUCUGUCCUGCUUGCUGGUAAAAUGAAGACACCCCUCCAAGGGCACCUCCAGACCCCCCUUCCCCAGCUCAGCCCUGACUCUGACACAGGAGGGCUCACCUGGCUGGUCAAGUGCUCUAUUUGGGAAGGAGUUUCCAUUAUUUAGAAACUCACCUUGGAGAACCGCAUGUUUCCUGCCAAAGCUGGGUAGGAAAGGGUUUGAUGUUGUUGGUGUUGUGGUUUAGCCACUAAGCCGUGUCCGAUUCUUUGCGACCCCAUGGACUGUAGCCCACCAGGCUCCUCUGUCCAUGGGAUUCUCCAGGCAAGAAUACUGGAGUGGAUUGCCAUUUCCUUCUCCAGGGGACCCUCCCCAACCAGGGAUCGAACCUGCAGCUCCUGCACUGGCAUGCGGACUCUUUACCACUGAGCCAGGAAAGGGCUUGGUACUAAGUCAAUAGCAGUUAAAGAAUCAUCGCUGAUUUUUGGAUAAGGAGGAAUCACCCUUCUAAUCCUUACUGGUGAAAGUAUUUCUAGAAAUGUCUUCCCACGUCUCCCAUCUUUGAGAAGAACAGGUGGGCAGGAUUUACCUGACGGAAGCCCACGGUUUCUGUAAAGCAAAGGAGCCUCCACUUCAAACAGCCCAAGCCAGAGCAACCCAUCCCAGAGCCAGACCCGCUUCUGUGUGGAAGGGAGCCUUUGGCCUUGCUGCAUUGCCCCUCAUGUUCUGCCCUCCUUUUCCCCUCCUGAGGGGGUCUCACACCCAAUAUGGUUCGUGGAAAAGUCCGUUUGUUGGUCCCAGUUAUUUAGAGGGUCGUGCACCAUCCCCAGGCUUCCCUGGUGGCUCAGAGGUAAAGAACCAGCCUGUAAGGCAGGAGUUGCGGAAGACGCAGGUUCGAUCCCUGGGUUGGGAAGAUCUCCUGGAGGAGGACAUGCAACCCACUCCAGUAUUCUUGCCUGGAGAACCCCAUGGGGGUCGCAAAGAAUCAGAUGACUGAAGUGACUUAGCACGCACGCACACACGCACGCCACACCCUAAUUCAGGAGAACAUUCCGUCUGUUUCUUUAUGACCCUUUCCCGAGCACGGCCCACCCUGUUCCUCCUUCCACAGUGGGUGUCUCAGAACACCCCAAAUGCCCAUAAGCGUCAGCCCCAAGUUUCCUUCCAGUCGUGAAAACGUGACUCUGAACAUGACUGAGUCAACACAGCUGUCUGUCCAGAAGGAUGUAGGCUGUGUGGGGUACGAGUCUGCUGAGUUGCCCUGAUUCCGUGUCUGGUUCUCAAGCCGGUAAGACCCUGUUCUGGGAGCCCUGGGCCCAGAAAAGAAGGAAGAGCCAGCUGGGGGCCAGCGCUGACCCCCAAUUCCCUGGCCCUGGGUGGCCUGGACCACUAACCUUCCAGGUGCUGCCUGCGGACUCCUGCCCGGGUCUCUGUUCUCUUAUUUCUGGGACCCGCCCAGCAAGGCUCUAAGGAGCUGGAGCCAUGAUCACAGGCAGAUGGCAGACACCCUGAGAAGCAGACACGAGAGAGUGAAAUGCCAGCACACACCUCGCCCGCGGAGUAAAAUCUGAACAGAAAGCCAGGUCAGGGUUUGCUUUUCUCCUGCCUUCUCCCCACCUCCCACUGGGCUGUAUCUUAGGAGGAAAGAUGCCAAAGGAACCCGAGGAAAGAAUUAAGAUUCAGGGAGAACCAGGCCACUGUGACCCUCAGAGGACACCCAGGUGACCCACCCGAGGGCGUCAACUGUCCGCGUGGGACAGGAGGGGAGCAGGGGGGCCUGGGCGUCCCUGUCACCAACGACAGACAGAGAAGGGGCCGGACGGGAGUCGCAGGGGAACUGCGUGAACACAACAGAACCCAGAGCCCUCCAGCCUCAAUUUCCUGUUGAAAAACCAGACUGAACAGACCCAGAGAACUCAGAAAACCAGGUCAUUUCUAGGUCUCUCGUGGAGAGGUUCUGCCAGGCUCAGCCGGGACACCCACAACUGACUCCCACCUAGAGGGAGGGGCCUGCUGCUUAUUGAGCAUUAUUACCUGCCUGGGCUUCCCAGACGGUGCGGGUGGUAAAGAACCCACCUGCCAGUGCAGGAGACCUAAGAGAUGUGGGUUCAAUCCCUGGGCGGGGAAGAUCCCCUCGAAAAGGAAAUGGCAACUCAUUCCAGUAUCCUCUCCUGGAGGGCUGCGGGGCCUUAAGUUGCUCAUGGGAAAGAAGUCUGGUCCAGGCAGACACAGGGCUGAAGGAGGAGGGGCAGCUGGCUCCUCCAGCAAGUCCUUGGCCUGUAGGUCCUGCCUCAGUUUCUUGCUAAGUCAUGCCCAUGAUGGGAGCCAAGAUAGGACCCCAUAGUGGGAGACAGGGCCCACAUAGCACCGGAAGGAGGAGGCGGCAACUGUGGAGUCCGAGAGCCUGAGUUUGACCCUGCUUUGCCACGUACUAGCCACUCAACCUCAGUAAAUGAUUCAAGUUCACAGAGCUCCAGUUUCCUCAUGGGUAAAAUGAGGCCAAAAUUGUCAUGAGAUUUAAUAUCACAUAUAUCCAAGAAAAUGUCAAACACGGUUCCUGGCACCUAAUCAGUUCAGUUCAGUUCAGUUGCUGAGUCGUGUCCGACUCUUUGCAACCCCAUGGACUGCAGCACGCCAGGCCUCCCUGUCCAUCACCAACUCCCAGAGUUCACCCAAACUCAUGUGCAUUGAGUCGGUGAUGCCAUCCAGCCAUCUCAUCCUCUGUCGUCCCUUUCUCCUCCUGCCCCCAACCCCUCCCAGCAUCAGGGUCUUUUCCAGUGAGUCA